GCUCAGCCCCCGGGGCCAGGCCGUGUGGCCCGCUGGGGACUGGAGUCUCAACGACGCGCACACGUGAAGGAGCGGAAGGUGGGAAAGGGCCGGAAAACACACGUUCCUCCGAAACCGGUUUGCAAGUCCUUGUAGAGUUGGUGUCUCACCUUUAACUCUCCUUAUGCUGGGUGAAAACAAAGAGUGAUAGAUUCGUGUGGCCUUUCAAAUGAUUGUGAAGUGGUGGAAAUGGAUCCAAAAUAUUAAGUGACUUCUCUACCAAAGCAUAGAAGAUUCUUCAUAUCUCCUUCCAGUGGCUCAAUUUAGAUUUUGGGAAGGAGCAGAACAAGUGAAACACAGAAAACUGAAGAGAAGAAAUCCUCAUUUUGGACCUAUAUUUCUCCUUGACUAUUUCUUAAUAUCCAUCCUACCCAUCUUUCUAAUGUUUUAAGUUUGCUCUGAAUUUAUAAAUAGUAAAGGCCAAAGACAUAGAAUAUACAUUUAGUAGCUUUAUACCAAGAAAUUUGCCUUGAAAGCUGCUGUUCGUGGAGGGAAAAGUAGCAAAUUCCUGUCUAUUUUUAUUUUUUAUUUUUUUUUUAACAAAGACAAGAUUUAUAUCCCUAGAUUUUGAAGGUUAAGGCAAAUAUAAAUACAUAUCUGCACACUAUUUUUUAGCAGUUGCAUGAGUAAGAGUAAUGAGAUUUGUAUUUUAAGGACUUUGUCAUGUGGAUGUUUUGGAGUUGACUGCUCAGAUCUUUUAUAGGGCUUAGUAUUUUUGAUCUAUUACCUUGAUGACAUUAUUUGUCCACACUUGAGCCCAUCUGUCUUUCUAGCUAUGACCUUGUUAUGAACAGUAUUUGCACUCGGUGCAAAUAUCCAUGUCUUACCUAAUUAAGCAACAUCAUAGUGCCAUAACUCAAGGAAGUUGAAUGAGGUGAACAUAGAUACAGCUCUUUCCCCUUCCCCCCCUUUUUAAAUGUAACAAAUACUUUUUAUGUUCCCCUUCCCCC
rnacentral:sRNA from 1 species